AUGGUCUCGCGUUUGGUCUCUGAUACUGAAGCACACGGUUUUACACAUGUAUUAGCUGCUGUUCGCCAAAUUAAGGGAUAUAUGUUUGUGAAGGGAGCUCUGAAUGUUAUUUGGAUGGCUGCAGGAGUCAAGUGCCGUCGUAUAUGCAUUGCUUUGUCAUCUAAAGAAUUGCCUCUCCAAAACCUCGGUUUCAUAUGUUCUAACUUCUACUAUAUGAUUGGUUCACUUUUUUUCAGUUACUUGAGACGGCAGUUUAGAUUGGAACAUAAAGUGAUUUGGUUUGAGUUGAUGUUGCGCGGAGUCCAUUCCUGA
rnacentral:rRNA from 1 species